CACGCUGUAAACGAUGUCGAUUUGGAGGUUGUGCCCUUGAGGCGUGGCUUCCGGAGCUAACGCGUUAAAUCGACCGCCUGGGGAGUACGGCCGCAAGGUUAAAACUCAAAUGAAUUGACGGGGGCCCGCACAAGCGGUGGAGCAUGUGGUUUAAUUCGAUGCAACGCGAAGAACCUUACCUACUCUUGACAUCCAGAGAACUUAGCAGAGAUGCUUUGGUGCCUUCGGGAACUCUGAGACAGGUGCUGCAUGGCUGUCGUCAGCUCGUGUUGUGAAAUGUUGGGUUAAGUCCCGCAACGAGCGCAACCCUUAUCCUUUGUUGCCAGCGGUUCGGCCGGGAACUCAAAGGAGACUGCCAGUGAUAAACUGGAGGAAGGUGGGGAUGACGUCAAGUCAUCAUGGCCCUUACGAGUAGGGCUACACACGUGCUACAAUGGCAUAUACAAAGAGAAGCGACCUCGCGAGAGCAAGCGGACCUCAUAAAGUAUGUCGUAGUCCGGAUUGGAGUCUGCAACUCGACUCCAUGAAGUCGGAAUCGCUAGUAAUCGUAGAUCAGAAUGCUACGGUGAAUACGUUCCCGGGCCUUGUACACACCGCCCGUCACACCAUGGGAGUGGGUUGCAAAAGAAGUAGGUAGCUUAACCUUCGGGAGGGCGCUUACCACUUUGUGAUUCAUGACUGGGGUGAAGUCGUAACAAGGUACCAAGGGCGAA
rnacentral:rRNA from 1 species